rnacentral:rRNA from 1 species
AACGUUACCAAACUGUUGCCUCGGCGGGAUCUUCUGCCCCGGGUGCGUCGCAGCCCCGGACCAAGGCGCCCGCCGGAGGAAUCAACCAAAACUCUUAUUGUAUACCCCCUCGCGGGUUUUUUUUAUAAUCUGAGCCUUCUCGGCGCCUCUCGUAGGCGUUUCGAAAAUGAAUCAAAACUUUCAACAACGGAUCUCUUGGUUCUGGCAUCGAUGAAGAACGCAGCGAAAUGCGAUAAGUAAUGUGAAUUGCAGAAUUCAGUGAAUCAUCGAAUCUUUGAACGCACAUUGCGCCCGCCAGUAUUCUGGCGGGCAUGCCUGUCCGAGCGUCAUUUCAACCCUCGAACCCCUCCGGGGGGUCGGCGUUGGGGAUCGGCCUUCCUUCACGGGGGCCGUCUCCGAAAUACAGUGGCGGUCUCGCCGCAGCCUCUCCUGCGCAGUAGUUUGCACACUCGCAUCGGGAGCCGCGGGCGCGUUCCACA